rnacentral:rRNA from 1 species
CCUACGGGGGGCUGCAGUGAGGAAUAUUGGUCAAUGGACGAGAGUCUGAACCAGCCAAGUAGCGUGAAGGAUGACUGCCCUAUGGGUUGUAAACUUCUUUUAUAUGAGAAUAAAAUGUUCCACGUGUGGGAUUUUGUAUGUACCAUAUGAAUAAGGAUCGGCUAACUCCGUGCCAGCAGCCGCGGUAAUACGGAGGAUCCGAGCGUUAUCCGGAUUUAUUGGGUUUAAAGGGAGCGUAGGUGGAUUGUUAAGUCAGUUGUGAAAGUUUGCGGCUCAACCGUAAAAUUGCAGUUGAAACUGGCAGUCGUGAGUACAGUAGAGGUGGGCGGAAUUCGUGGUGUAGCGGUGAAAUGCUUAGAUAUCACGAAGAACUCCGAUGGCGAAGGCAGCUCACUGGACUGCAACUGACACUGAGGCUCGAAAGUGUGGGUAUCAAACAGGAUUAGAUACCCUUGUAGUC